rnacentral:ncRNA from 2 species
AGCGUGUGCGGCGAGAACGGUCACACCCGCACACGUGGGUGUCAGGGAAUCCGGUGCGAAUCCGGGACUGGCGCGCAGCGGUAUGGGGGACGGAACCGGCACACAGCCACUGGGGCGACCCGGGAAGGCGCCGGCUCCGGACGAACCCGAGUCCGAAUACCGGCCGCUCUCGCUCGAGUCCA